GGCCGCGGGAAUUCGAUUCAGGCCUAACACAUGCAAGUCGAACGGUAACGGGUCCUUCGGGAUGCCGACGAGUGGCGAACGGGUGAGUAAUGCAUCGGAACGUGCCCAGUAAUGGGGGAUAGCUCGGCGAAAGCCGGAUUAAUACCGCAUACGCCCUGAGGGGGAAAGUGGGGGAUCGCAAGACCUCACGUUAUUGGAGCGGCCGAUGUCGGAUUAGCUAGUUGGUGAGGUAAAGGCUCACCAAGGCGACGAUCCGUAGCUGGUCUGAGAGGACGGCCAGCCACACUGGGACUGAGACACGGCCCAGACUCCUACGGGAGGCAGCAGUGGGGAAUUUUGGACAAUGGGGGAAACCCUGAUCCAGCCAUGCCGCGUGAGUGAAGAAGGCCUUCGGGUUGUAAAGCUCUUUCGGACGGAAAGAAAUCGCGCUCUCUAACAUAGGGCGUGGAUGACGGUACCGUAAGAAGAAG
rnacentral:rRNA from 1 species